GGUGCUUUAUCGCUGAACUUCAUCCCCAGCUCUUUUAAUUUUUUUAAAAACAUUUUCAGUUGUCAGUGGAUCUUUUAUUUUAUUUAUUUAUUUAUGUGCAGUGCUGAGACUCAAACCCAGGGCCUCAUAUGCGCCAGGCAAGCCCUUUACCACUGAGCCACAACUCCAGCCCGCUUUUAAUUUUUUAAUCUUGAGACAGGGUCUCGAUAGGUUGCAGAGGCUGGCCUGGAGCUUGUGCUCCUCCUGCCUCAGCCUCCCUGGUUGUUGGGAUUACAGGUGUGCUCCACUGUGCCCAGCUCAACUUCUUCUCUUUACAAGUUGAUUAUCUCAAGCCUUCAUUGCAGUAACCCAGCUGAUGGACACAUGGAUGAAGUGGCAGGUGAAAAACUAGGAGAAAAUGAUUUUUAAAAAAGUGAUGGGGCCAAUGAAUGGUUAGUUAUGAGUGAAGGGCUCUUGAUGAGGUGAGAGAAUUACUGGGGUGGGAGCAUUAUAGCCACCAAGCUGGAGGAGAAAGAAGGAGGUGGUUGGGAAGUAAAGGGCUUGAAAUUGAGAAAGGGACCUGGCUAUUGGUGAUGACGAGGUCAAGCUUAUGACCUCAGAGUGGGAGGCUAAAGAACAUUUUAUGUGAGGAGGUCAAGGAGCCAAAGGUCAAAGGCUAACUGAUCAUCCCCCCAAUAAUGAAACAAGUGGUUAGUGAAGAUGAGGAUCCUGAGAAAGUCCUUAAGGAACAAGGAGGAGUGACCAGGGCACUGGUGGAUGACAGUGACCAAGAGAGUCAGCAGGCUUUUAGUCUGAUGGUGUGAACUUCAAAGGAGCUCUGUGCAGCAUGUGCAGGUGCUGGGGAUAGAAGACAGACAGACUCCCAAGUGCAUGGGGAGGCCCAGAGGGUUUGGGACAUGAAGUUCACGGUCAAUUGACGUUUAAAAUGAUCUCUUAGACUUGGAUGUAGAGAAUAGAUUGGAGGGAAGAAGGUUCCAUGUCGUUAGGAGGCUAUUCUAGGUAUUUAGCCUGUCAAAGUGUGGACCCCAGACUAGCAACAGCAGCAAAACCGAGAACUUCUCAGAAAUGCACAUUCUCAGGCCCCAUCCCAGAUUUACUGAAUCCUAAACCAAGAACAA
rnacentral:lncRNA from 1 species